ensembl:lncRNA
UGGGUACCAACAACGAACUACAAAACCACUUGCGCUUGCAAAUGGCAGACCAGCUUGCUGGGAGGGUGGUAUUGACUUCUGUGGCAAGGCCUCAUCAUUGAUAAAUGCAAAAGGAGAGCAGCUGGGGACAGCAGGGAGGAGGAGGUUCCAGCAUCAGCCUGAGCUCAGUGACACCUACAAGGGGCUGUCAUCAUUCUGCAUUCUUGUGCUGGGGGGUGAGCACGGCGAGGUGAUGCGUGCUGGAGCUGAAUAACUCCAUGAAAGAAAUCAGAGUGGACCUAUGCAUCGGUUGGGAGGCAGCUUCCUGGCUGCCCCAGGCUCACAACCACCUGCAGCCAUCCCUCCGGGCCCAGGUGGGUCCAGCUGCUGUGAGUGGGGAGGCAGAAGGGCCCCAGUCAGCAGCAGAGACCAAACCUGUGGCAGCAGCAAGGGGAUGGGCUAAGAACGGGUUUGCAAAGGUGGCAGUGGAAAUGGGCUCAGCUGUUUGCUGAGUGUUGGCAGAACUGCUUGCAGGUUGGAUUUCUUGUGCCAGAAAAAGCCUUUAUAAAAAUGGGAAGAUUCCAAUGCUAUUGCAUUUGUUCAGAACCUCUGUAUUUCAGCAAGCAGAUCCUGGUCUGCUCUGUUGAAAGAGACCCAGAAAAUAAACUUGAACUGUUUGGGUGGGAAAAAACCAGCGAAUUGUUCCUCUAGUCCGUUAGCCCAUCCCUCCUCAUUGUGCAGCAGCCUCAGCUGUAACCACUGGGCAGUUCUGGGUCUCUGCUUCAGCCCUGGGGGCUCAGAGCCUGGGCAGCACGUGCCCCUCACCCACAUUUUACUGCAGGAGAGGCUUCCAGUGAAAGCCCUGCUGGGAGUCCCUGGCAUCUGAGCCCAUGUGGGUGUGGAAAGCUAUAGUUUUCUUUUUUUCUUUCUUUUUUUUUUGCCUGGAAACUUUAUAUAUUUGAAGCACUCCACAUGUCUGUGAGCGAUGCCCGCUGUUGGUGUGGGGCAGGCAGCGGGCGCUGCUGUGCCUGGUGGUGGCUCUGCUGCCUCCUGGGCAUCUCCCCCUGCUCCACAUCUUCCUUUGCACGCUCCAGGAUGGUUCCAGCUCUUUUCUCUCAGAAAUCUGGACAGGAGCGGGCACUUCAGCAGCGGUGUUGGUUUGUCGGAGUGUCUGCACGGACCCGGAAUAAAGCGGAGCUCCCUAUUAGAGACUAACUCAGGAUGGUUUGAAAAUGUGAAGAAAUCAAUAUCCAACUGCAUCGCCAAACAGGCAGCAGUCCCAGAACAAAGAGGCCGGGAGAGGCUGGCGGUGCGAGCACAGAACUUGAGAUUUCUGGUGCAGAAGCUGAGCAGAAUUUGAUUUGCAAAGACUGCGAGAUUAGGAGGUGCAGAACACUCAUCCAGUUCCUCAGCUUGCUGCCUCAAAUGUUACCCACGCCGUAUCUCACUGGGUCUCCCAGUACUGCUGCGUUGCGUUGUUUUCAAAGCUCUAACUAUCUCCUUGGAGGCGCUGAUAUUAAUUGAUUUCCGAAAUCAAAAAGUUACAGAAAACACAAAGCAGGCUGCGGUGCGUUAACGAAGCGCGUUUCGCUUCUGAUCAGAAGAGUGAUCCAAGGGCACACGUGGCGGGGGCUGCCCCCCCCCCACCCGCUGCUAUUGCAGUGAUCUGUUCUGGAAAUGAGUAAUCAGGAAUGACAACGGGAAACAAACGAGCGCGGCAGUAAUGGCAGGGCAGGAGCGGUGCUGAUUAGCAUAUCUAUACCGCCCGGCUUCCGAGCGCAGGGCUACGCUGCCGAAAUUACAUCAUUUGUUUCUGUGACAGUAACAGAUAUAAAAAUUACACCAUAAAUAAAGUGGGGUCAACACUUCA